CUGGCUCAGGAUGAACGCUAGCGGCAGGCUAACACAUGCAAGUCGAGGGGCAGCGGGAUGUAGCAAUACAUUGCCGGCGACCGGCGGAUGGGUGCGUAACGCGUAUGCAACCUACCUUAUACAGGGGAAUAACCUUUCGAAAGGGAGACUAACACCCCAUGGUAUUGAUUUAAGGCAUCUUAGAUUAAUUAAAUAUUUAUAGGUAUAAGAUGGGCAUGCGUAUGAUUAGCUAGUUGGUAAGGUAACGGCUUACCAAGGCGACGAUCAUUAGGGGUUCUGAGAGGAAGGUCCCCCACACUGGUACUGAGACACGGACCAGACUCCUACGGGAGGCAGCAGUGAGGAAUAUUGGUCAAUGGGCGCAAGCCUGAACCAGCCAUGCCGCGUGCAAGGAAGACGGCCUUAUGGGUUGUAAACUGCUUUUACAUAAGACUAACCGUAUAUUUGCGAAUAUACCUGAGUGUAUUAUGAGAAUAAGGAUCGGCUAACUCCGUGCCAGCCGCCGC
rnacentral:rRNA from 1 species